UGUCAGAGCAAAACACUUCUGCUGCUUAAAGUCAGAUCUACGUCUUUUGCAAUAAUACUUUAAAAAAAAAAAAAAAGAAGGAUAAAUAAUUGCCUUAAAGCCUCAGCCGAACUGCCAACCACACCUUCGGAUGUUAGAAGGCAGAAAUAUGUGAACUGCUGAGAGAGUUCUAGUUUCAGACCUGUCCUAACCCUGUGGUGCCUGCAAGAGGUGCAUCAGGAGGGGAAUAGUGUGCGAAUGCUGCUCGGGACGUGUUUGGUGAGUGGCAAUUCGGUCUCCACGCUGUGUCCCUGAGCUUUGUUAUUCUGCUUUUCUGUGCUAAGCUCUUGGUUGUUCUUGCCCUGGCAGAUUCUGUCUCUUUAAGUAACUAAAUCUCAUUUUUAAGCUAUUCCUGGGAAAAGGAUAUUACACAUGAGUAGAAAAAUGCAGGCAAGAAAGGCUAAUUGAAUGAAAAGAGAGAAUUAGGUUAAAAAUAGAGUACAAUCUAGUAUCACAUUUUCACUAGUGUAACCUGAAAUGAAGGUGUCUCCAAGUCCCCAGUGAUGCCAGAGUGUUUAGAUGUUGGGCACAGAUGGAGACACCUAUUGAAAUGUGUCUGAAGAAGAUUAAUAGGACUUGUCAGUGUUGGGAAAGCACUGCUUUGCUGUAAAUUUCUACUAGCACAAGAUGAAUUACCGAUGAAUGCUCAGUUAUCAACCCCAUCACUAUCAUUGGACACUAAAUCAAAUUGAGCAGUUAUCUACAAUCAGAAAAUUUCUUUUAAAAGUAGGCAUACACCUUUAGGCUUAAACUCUUUAAUAAGACAAUAUCCUCGAUGGUAUGUGUGUGUUCACAAAAGGAUAUGAUUAAAAGUUUCUAUACAGAAAGCUUCUGUUCAGAAAUGAACUCCAAGUUCAGUGUGAAAGCAGGGCUGUCAAACAAUAGAAGAUACUCAGAAAAUGCUGGUUAUAUAAUACAGAGUUCUGAUGGGGGUCUGAUCCAAAAUGGAUUUUUAUGUGUGUCAUUAGAUUUUGGAUCCAUCCAUGUUUAUGAGAGGUUUUUUACAAUCUCUGCUCUCCCCUUAUUUAUGGUCAUGAUAAACACACCCCUUCUCUCUACCUUAAAAACUGAGCAUCGAAAUCAUACAUUAAUGCAAAACAGCCAUCAUGACUCAGGAUAUAUGUAUAAUAAUAUUACCACCCCCCAAACAUAUUUAGGAAAUAACAAUAAUAUAAUGAACUAUGUGAUGAAAGAGUCAAUGAAUAAUAUUUUAGCUGAGAAUAUUUCUUUCUCUCCUUUAUGAAAGGGGAAACUGUCACAAGCAAAACUACCACAAGCAUUUAUCAGCCCACUCCUGAAGAAUAUUACCUGCAUUUACCAUCUGAUGCUGCUGAUGACAAUGAUAUUAAAUAAGCAUUACAUACUUUUAGUUUCUAGGAUUUCUUUCCCUCUCUCACAGACACUGAACACUUUAUACAAGGAGAUUUAUCAUGGUGUGUUUUCCAAAGUCAAUUUUUUCAUUUUUUUGAGACAAGGGAGGUCAUUUGUGUUUAGGGAGGGAGACAGGUACAGAGCCUUUAUCUGAUCUGCGUCCCCAGCCACCAGCACCUUCUUAAUCGACGGCAGAUCCCCACUCUAGAGGAUCUGGCCCUGUCUGGGUUACUUCUUAGCCCAGGAAUGUUUCCUUCCCUUCAUCUCCUCAUGUCUCACCUGUGGUGCAUGUUGCUUUUUGAGAAGGGAAUAACACACUGUUUACCACACAGCCCAGUUUCAAAGCCUUUGUGCGUUUCUCAUCUCCAGCCAAAGCUUAUUAUUUACCACCCUAAAAAUCCACCAUGGUAAGGGAUAGCAGAAGUUAUUUUCCUCAUUUUUACACCCCAAUUUUCACACAGCAAAUGCCCUGCCUUAGGAGCAGAUCCCACUCAGAUGGAAGUUAUUAACUUUCAGCAGAAUGGGGCGAUUUCAGCCAGCCACAGCCUGUGCCCUUCGAACACGGUCGCUUUGCAGCAUCCCCGUGUUUAUUUUUUUUCUUUGGAGGGCAUGAUUCUUUAAACAUAUUUGUUUUACACAGAGCAGCAGUUGAAUCCUAACUUUUUUUCCCCCCCACAAACACGUAAAGAGAAUAUUAAUAGGGAAUAUUAACAGAGGUGAGUGCAGCAUGAAGCUAGUUAGGUUGUAGUAGCUGAGAAAUAUGAACUAGUGAACAUAAUCCAUAAACUCCAUUUGGUUACUAUAAUACUCCAAUCUGUAUUUAUUACAACCCCACUCUGAUGCUUAUACAACUGCAAUUGCUAGAUUUAUACACUCUAAUGAUUUCACAAUAGGAAAAACCUGUGUCUUUAUCUUUCUUUUCCUGUCCAAAAUAACCCCUUCCACAUAUACUUCAGGCUUCUCUGGACCUUGUCUGGGUUUAAUCACAGGCUUUGGGACAAAAUGUGCAUUAUUAAGAAGUAUAAAUAUUUUCAGAAGCAAUCAAAGGGUUGAAAGAUUGAUUCGGCAUGUAGAUUGGAUUUAAUUCGAAGCAGCUUUGUUCUAAUGAGGACUACUGGGAUACAGAGACGGCAGCCGCUUAUGGCCACCAGUUGGGAACUUCCACUCGCUGCAGCAACCUGUCAAGAAUUCCAAGGAACUGCCAGGGUAAAAUUGCCUGCAGGGUACGUUUGCUGAAGCCUGUUAAUUCCUCCUGAGGUCAGUGGGUACCGGGUGCUGGGCAACACAGCCUCUCCUGGCCGGGCACGGUGGGCUCCGACUGCUUCCCAAGAGACAGGGACAGCAGUGAAGAACGUGGGAUUUCCCACAGGAAUUUGGAAGAUGCCCUUGUCUAAGACAAUGGUGACGAUUGGGCCAAAAUCCAGCCUUGAUUCCUUCAUCCAAAUGACCCUGUGCUGACCCACGGCUGCUGAUGGAUCGCAGCGACGUGGACCGUCCUCCCUCCCUCCUCGCUGCCCUGCAUCAGAUCUCCAGGAGGACCUGAGAGUACUGUAUGAACCAUCACAAGACCUGGAUUGGAAAGCAGGGGGACCAAGCACUCAGAGGUGGCUGAUGCAGCUGGUUCUCUGGCCCUGGGCUCAGCUCUUGGUCAUGGCCCAAGCACCAGAGGCCAGAGGUGGGGACUGUCUCUGUCUUGGCUACUCCUCAUCAGUGCUUUGAGCUGCACAAAGCCCUGAGAAACAAGGAAACACAAGUGCACCACCAGGGAUUGGCUCCCUCUCUACACCUGAAGCACAGCACGAAGUUCCAGCCUUUGCUUCUGCAGCAAGUUCUUGUUACCCAAUUCCUGCUGACAACAGAGGAAGAGGCACAAGUCAGCUCAGAAAAUGAACGACUAGAAGGUAAGUGAAAAGAAUAGUAAACACAGGCCAUUCAUGUAACAGGAUCCGAUUCAUUUUUAUGCCAGGGAGAUUUUUUAAAUGGGACUUCUCCCAGUGGAGAGCUCUCAAUGCUCAAGGCCUGUUUCACUACAAAGACAAUACAUAAUUAUUCUGGGCUUAUUAUUAUUUUUUAUCACUCUUAUUCCAGUUGCAGGGAGUGAGGGCAGAGAUGAGAUCAGGACCCAGCUUAUUGUGCAGCACACGGGGCUGCAGGACCCUGUGGAGGCAGGUAAUGCACCCAGGCUGAAGGUUCAGGUGGCAGGUCUGCGAUGGGAGAAUCCAUCAAAAUCCAGCAAAAAUGGGGACUCAGCCUCCUGAGCUCCUCAGUCCUGGGCUCCUGCUGCUUGUUGCUUUCAGCAUCUUCUCCCUUCACACUUAUUUUGAAUCACCGAAAUGAUGAAUUGAAAAAAUGUCAUGUCAUUUGAAGCACUCUUUAUUGUAUUUAUAGGAAACAGAUUAUCUGUUCUCUGAGGACAGUGGAAACUGAGUAUGAUGAGCUCAUCUGGAGAAAAUGUAGGUUGGGUGUGACAGAGAAACUUGUGUUUUAUACCUCAGUGACAUCUUAAUUUCUGGUUUUGGUAUGACAGACUCAGUGAUACUGAACCAUCCUGGUUCCUGCUUUCAGGCUGGGGUCACAAGUUGGACUUGGAAGAAGGAACUUCCAUGCAGAGAUGUGACUGCAGUGUGAAUACUGUGCCAGGUGUUUGCAGGUCCUGGGUUAUCUUAGGUGACAUUUUCAUGUUGACUGCUCUGUGUUAGCUCUUCUCAGGCAGAAGGCAGUGACAGUGGAUCAUGUGUUAUAGGUUUCUUUACAGAUGAAACCUGGAUUGUCCUAAAAUCCAGUAACUACUCAAUACCAGCAACUUCCACACCCCUCCGUGCUCCCGCCAUUGCUUUGAACCAGUUUAUUUAUUCAUUUGGGCUCUAAGCACUCGGAUGCAUUCCUUCUUGCUGCAACAGCAGGGGUACAGGAAGGGGUGUUUGAAAUCACGCAGUCAAUUCCACCCUGGAUUUCAGGAGGAGUUAUUCUUGUCUCAGAGAUGACGCAUUCAAAUAUCCCUCUACGGAUUCCAGUUCUCAGCCCAAGAGGUCAUGGAUGGUGACAGCUCUCAUCUACUUUGGAGCUGUUCUAUCUUCCAAGAGAAAUCAGGAAGAUGAGCUGGAAGAGAUGCUUUACUUUCUUUGGUAGGACAAUCUAUAAAUUAACAAUUAUGUAAGCGAGACUCUCACCACAUUUUUAAUGUUGUAUCACAUUUUGAGGCUGGAAAAUAGAAUGUCUCAGAACUAGGUGAUCUUGAAGAUCUUUUUCAACCCAAGCUUUCGUAUGACUCCAUGAUCUUCAGAACAAGAUGAAUAGUGUUACUAAUGCAACCUUAUCUCUGGUGCCCAUAGGUGCUCCUCAGCUCUGCCUUGAGGUGACACCGUUAAGCAAGAGGUGACAAACCGGUUUCCUUUCCCAAGGAAAUGUCACGUAACUGCCCAGGGGCCCCUUUUUGUGGGGCCUGGACCCUGAUUUUCAAUGAGAGAUGUGCUGCUGUGGCCCCUUCCCAGCCUGGCAGGAGGAGCUGAAGCUGCUCGUUCACAGCUGCGACAUGUCUCAGGCAGGAAGAAAGGCAGAAGGCAUCAGGCUGUAGGGAGAGAUCAGGGCAGCCACCUUCAGACACUGGCAAAGAAACCUGCAGAACUCAUCCAGAGGGGAUGAGCUCCCAGGGCUAGACCAUGCUGGUACAAAGGAUGGUGGUAUCAUCCUACGCACCCAACAAGAUUUGCUACUCCUAAAUGGGGGAGCACAUACAUCCAACCCCAAAUGCUCUGCAGUUCAUAGACUUGCUCCAGUGAAGAGAGCCCUGAGCAGUGAUGAGUGUUGUAGGAUAUGUGCUGCAGCAUUAGGACAGCCCAAGGAGCAGUGCAGAGCAUCUGUCACCAACAAGAAAAUAUCAUGUGGAAAGCUGCUGUAAUUCCUGUCCCCAGCAGCCUAACUGGAGGCACAGACUUCCCAAGGCUUGGAGGACUUGGAGAACUCAGGAUCCUCAGUGAGAUCUCUCCCCAAACGCUGCAGAUUUACCAGGUCAGCUCAGUCCAGGCCAAAGUUGCUGGGAAAGGUCCUUGGCUCUGCUCCAAGUUCAGUGCUCUAUUGAUUGGGGAGGUAUUUAUUGUAGGUCAGGAUCUUGAGCCAAGACAGCUGAAGCUGCAAGGACUAAAUUGUCUAUUCCCGACCCACAGAUAAAACAAAUGGCCAGUUUUAGCCUAAUCAUCACUUCUGCCUGAGGAAAGAGAAACUCUUUGAGGUAAGUUCCCUUGGAUAUAAUUCUUUCUUUCUAGGUUAUGGAAGGGCUGCAGCUAAUACAUAUCCUGAGUCAUAAUGUGGAUUUGCACCUUUCCUGUUAAAUAUAGCUGGUUUAUGUCCAAAGGAUCGCUCCUCUCCCUAAUGCUCACUCAUAUUGUUACAACUUCUACAUUAGUUGCAGGUGUGAAAUGCCAACUGAUCCACACUUCUGGCGCUGUCAGCAGGGGAGUAAUGUGUGUCAAAGGCCUGCUGCUCAGAGGGGAGGUCACCCCGAUCUCCAUUUGCACAUCUGCUUUGCUAAACACAAAACUCUGGAGGUUUGAAAAGCUCCAAUGUGCACAAAGUGGGAUGUGAUCACAUGUACAGAAGGAGCUGCUUGUGCCUGUCACUUAGUAGGCAGGACACAGAAUUUUCCCUCAGUACAAAAUUCUUCCUGCAUUACAACAGGUGAUGUUUUACUUGUAAGUUCUAUAUUAAUAAGGAAAAAACCACAUUUCUCUGCAUUCCACGAGCAGACAGGAUACCAAGGGGUUAAAAAAGAGCCUCACACAUUGAGCAGCUUCAGAAAGAUGCUAAUAUUCAGCAUGUCCCUGCUUGGAGUGUGCAGACAUGAGGAUCAGGGAAGUGCCUGAUCAGAGCUCCUGGAGGGACCGUGCUGCUGGAGCCUGCCUUGCACAGAGGCAUCCUGGCUUGGUUCUGAGGGCUUCCACAGGAGCUUUCAAACGUUUCUAUUUCCUGCUGUUAGUGGAUUUUUUUCAUACCUUGGAAUAAGUCUUCCGAUGGUAAUGUGUUUGCAGUUGAUGCUGAGAUAAUAGUUCUUGCUCAGGGGACCUCUAAUACACAGUAUUUUAUGCUUUCUACAUUUUAUGUGAGAUCAAGAACUCCUCCUAUAUGUACAUCUAUGCCUAAUUCUUUCUUGAUUCCUGCUAGAAUCUAGAAUAUCCCUCAGUAUCUGCCAUAAGGGUGCCCACAAGUAAUCUAUACAGAAUAUUUUUUGGUCUUAAUAUGUUUGGCCUUUCAAUGUCAUGUUUGUGACAUCAUGAUUCUGGUUACUCUGCACCUGCAGGACAUUCUAAAUACAUGCAUCCAAGCAUCAUUCACCACUAUGCACUUUAUUUUUUCCUCUCACAGUUGACUAUUUCCAAUUAUUUUGGGGAUAAUGAAACCCAUAUUGACCUUCUUAUCCAACAUGAGAAAACAGGGACACGGUCUUCAGCUGUAUGCUGAUGUUCCACGGCUGUAACAUCAUGUUCCAUGGAAUUUUGACCUUGUAUCCUCACAGUAACUUAGCCAGAAUUAAAGAAAAGUGAUUUCUAAAGCCCAAAGCAUAUUGGGGUGAGCCAUGAGCUGAACACAUAGGUCAGAGCAUGUUUCAUGAACAUGGAAUUCCAGCCCUGAGCCUCUGCUGCUCAUAAUGGACAUCUCCUUAAGGGAGCUGUUGAAAAUAAUUUCCAUGAGAAGCAGAAGAAAAUAAUUUUCAAAAGAAUCACUUUUAAUACUGAGGAAGGAGAGCGCUUGCAUUUUAAAGAGAAGUUUGAUUCUGGAAAAGACUAUUUGUUGGUGAGUUAGAGGAGCUGUGUUGUAGAAGGCAGAGUGGCUG